rnacentral:rRNA from 1 species
UACGUAGGGGGCAAGCGUUGUCCGGAUUUAUUGGGCGUAAAGAGCGUGUAGGCGGCCAGGUAGGUCUGCUGUGAAAACUCGAGGCUUAACCUCGAGAUGUCGGCGGAAACCAUCUGGCUAGAGUCCGGAAGAGGAGAGUGGAAUUCCUGGUGUAGCGGUGAAAUGCGCAGAUAUCAGGAAGAACACCCGUGGCGAAGGCGGCUCUCUGGGACGGUACUGACGCUGAGACGCGGAAAGCGUGGGGAGCGAACAGG